GAAAGCCUAAGUAUCUAUGAUGAUAUUGAUGCUGAUGUGCUGAGAAACUACCAGGAAUUUACACUAGCAAAUAUUCUGUACUACUCCCUGAAAGAAUCCACCACCAGUGAGCAGAGUGCUAGGAUGACCGCUAUGGACAACGCUAGCAAAAAUGCUUCUGAGAUGAUUGACAAGCUGACCUUGACGUUCAACCGUACCCGUCAAGCCGUCAUUACCAAGGAGCUCAUUGAGAUCAUCUCCGGUGCCGCUGCUCUGGAUUAAUCGGAAAAAGAGGUUCAGCCAAUUCCAAGAGGUGAAGAAGAGCUCGUCUGAGCAUGUGCUGUUUAACCUGCCCGUGUCUGUGUUAACAAGACUGCUCUGUUAUUUUGUGAAGAAGUGGUAAAGCCUCAGAAAUCUGUAAAUUCUUACAAUAAACCACCUACAUGAAACAAA